GGGAGCUGGAGUCAGUGGCUGCUUUGUGGAGAAGGAGGAGUCAGUGCUUUGAGGAGCUGCCCAUAAGAAACACCAAGCAGGUCUCACAACUGGUGAGUCAAGCCUACGGCUUGCCUUGACUUCAGAAAUGCUCCUGGGCUUUCAAGAGCAACCCUCAAUCAUCAGCUGCUGUCAAUAACAGAAGACACAUCUUUGUCCAUGCAGGGUGAUUCAGGGUCCUCCCCUGUGGUACAGCUCUACAAUGAGGAUGCUGCAAUCUCAGUCUGAGACCUAAGAAUUAGCCUGGAUUCAUUUCUAAUUGCAUAGCUUCAUGAGAAAGAAGAGACUUGCCAGCUUGCCCAGCGUCCCCAGUGAUAUUUCUUACUCUCAUUAAUCCCUGGAACUCUAUUAAUGUGAUGUGUACACAUGCACGAGACCAUUCUGCUGAUUAUGUGCAGCAUAUGGAGAGAUUUUACAUCAAUAUCUUCAUUUUUCUAGUUGUUCCCUUUUGGCAGGAACAACAAAGGGUAAAAUCUGCCUCUCCUAUAUGGAGUGAUUCCACACACUGACUCAUUUCCAGACAUUCCAAACAGAAGCACAACCUAAUAUUUUGCUGUAUUAAGUUCUCCAGUUUCCACCCAAGGGUGAGAAUUUGGUGACUCCAGGUGUUAAAAUCCCCAUCAGACUCUUUACUUGCAUUCAGUACCAGCUAGAGAAAAAUUAAAGGACUCUUUUAAAAUAUGAAGUUUAAUUCUAUCCAGAGUGAUAAAGAGUGGGUUAGGAGCUCAGAAUUUGGAGUUCAAAUUUAUUCCAAUGGUGGUCUGGAUUUUUAUGCCAGAGAUGUGUUUUCUCAUGCCUGUGAGUAGAACAAUUAAAACAAGUUAAAAUCAUUGAACUCUCUUUCCUACUGCUGUUGAACUUGGAAAAACAAUGCACAGUUUUAAAUUUUUAAGAAGUUAAAGAUUAUUUUUGUUUAAUUUUUAAAGUUGUUGGAUGGGGGAUUUUUGGGUUUUUUUUUUUUUUUUUGUAACAAUCUUUAAUUACUUGCUGGUCUUGUCAGGCACUUACAGAGCCAUGUAAUGUCUAGUAUUAAAUAACUCUUGGUAGAUUUGAUCCCAUACCCCCCAAAAACACCCAAAAUGGAGAGUUUUAAGGGAAAAGACAGUCUUUCACUUGGUCAGAGCAUGCCAAGUGUCUCUGUUUGGGGUGAUCCCAGAUCAUCUGGGAGGGGAAACAAGGGGAGUAAAUUCCAGUGCCUUUCUGCAGGGGUCUGAAAAGCGUGAAUUUUCUCCUUUUACAGUGAAUUUACACAGGCAGACCCUCCGGCCUUAUUUUGUGCUGUGAAAAUGCUGUUGGAUUGUCCCAGCCCCUCUGCUGUAACAGAGGCACAGCGCACUCUGCCUCGGAUGGAGCCUGGGUGAGCAGAGGCUCUUUGGGCAAAUCAUCGCUCCUCCAUCUCCCACAAGCCUUUUUUCUGUGUUCCACUUUCACAUCUGAGACAUAUAGACACUCUCAUCCAAAGACAUUCCUGCUUUUUGACAAUUGAGCACCUCUUGGAAGCAGAACCCUGCUCCAGGGCAAGCAGUGGCACAGUGGAGUGAGGGCAACUCCUUCCUCCUGAAUAAAUGCCGUUAAUGUGUGGGACAGCGAGGUGGUGAUUCAUGACUGAGCACUGUAGGCAAGCACAAAGCUUUUAAAUGCUACGUUUAGGCUAAGAUUGCAACAGAUAAGCAACCUGGAAGAUGGGAUGCAGAGCAAUGUGGGAAUUCUGACAC